CUUAUCUCUUUCAAUUACUUUCAUCUUACUCAUUCAAUUCCCCCUUCUUCCUCAUUCAACUUCUUCUUCAUUCAAGUUCAACGCUGCCUCACCCACUCAAACCAUCGGUUAUGCUAAACCUGCUUAGUCUACAGGUACAUUUGAGCAAAGGCAACCAAACCUAGUAGAGCAACAGCUUCCAUCACGAGCCAAUCACUAAAUCUAGGUGACCUUUUUUGGAAUUUUUUUGUAGAUUUGAUUUUUUUUUUCUUUUGAACUUUGUUUAUUGAUUGUUAUUUGGGGCUGAACUAACAGGGAUUAGUUUAUUUGUUUGCUUGGUUGACCAAUGCACGCCACAAUGUAUGAUAAAAUUUCUAAGUGAGAUAUUACCCUGAAUCUCUAAUGCCUACGUUGUUUUAGAAUGGCUAACGUGUUUAUAAUCAUACUCAGAUUUGUAUGUAUUAUAUGUGGAUUUUUAUUAACAGAUUUUCAAUUUAAUAUCAACAAAUUAGUGUGAGUAAUAUGUUGUGUUCAAAUAAAUCUUGCUUAUUACUACUUUUUAUAAAGAUUUCUUUUUUCCACAGUUUCAACUAGGGGUGCAAAUGAGCCUAGCCCUAACUCGAUUAAGCUCGAUCUCGUUUAACUUAUGAAAACUCGAGCUUGAGCUCAGCUCUUAGGUAGUGUUUCAAGCUCGAGCACGCGCGACUCAGGCUUGGCUUGUUUAUUUGUAUUACCUAUUAGUUAAUUUAUAUUAAUUAUAAUUAUUAUUAUAUAUAAUUUAGUUAUUUUUUUCAUAAUUUUUAAAUAUUAGUUAUUAUUAUUUAAAAUAUAUGUUUAAUAUAUUAAUUAAAAGUUAUAUAAACAGUGAGCUUGUUUAAGCUUGCGAGCCGGAUCAAGCUGGAUAAGCGAAAGCUGGGCUGAGGCUCGUUUACUAAAUGAGUUUGAUUUUAAGCUUGGGCUCGGACUUGAGCUCGUUUAAGCGUGUCCCGAGCUGAGCUCUAGUUGCUCGCGAAUAGCUCGGCUCGUGUAAACCCCUAAUUUCAACCCUUUCAUGGUAAACAUCAUAGCAAUAUGUAAUGACUUCAUUACAUAUUAAUUAGUUUGACAAACAUGAUCUACAAAAAAAAAAAUCACUAGCUUAGUGUUAUGAGUCGAUUAGCCAAUGAGUUGAAUCUGUCACAUAUACAUUAUGUCAGUGAUUUUAUAUUUAACUGUAUUUUUUUAUUUGCAUUGAUAUGGAUGCCUGAAUUGUGCAAGAUACAACACCAACUAUAAGUACUUAACUUUUUUCAAACUAGUCAUUACCAUUUCGGAUCAAACCUUGUUAGAUAUCUCCAGGUUUGUUCCAAUCUAUGUUGGGUGACAUCAAGGCGAUGAUCAGUUAUUUGUAGAAGACUUCAAAAGGCUAAACUUUGGCGACAUUCACUCUAAUUUUCACUCAAAUUUAGUGUUUUUGUCAAUGGUGACUAAGUCAAAGGUUGUUACAUCAAAUGGUAAAAAAGAGUGCCAUUCACGCUGUCCUGUUAUUACAAUCUAUCACAUCUAAUGUUGACGAGUCGUCCGAGCCCGAGCUUGACUAGGCUCGAGCUCGAGCUCGGCUCGCGAGUAAAACCCAAAGCUCAAACUCGGCUUGACUUGACUCGGCUUGAGCUAUUUUUAGAACAUCCCAACUUCAAUAUACGCAAUAAGUUUGAAUAACUGCUAGUUUACUAGAGUGCAUCCAAACUUCAAUAUAUUUUGCUCGAGUCUAACUUAAAAUAUGCAGGACGACAUUGAAAUUAUGGCAGACACAGGUUUAGAAGCUUUUAGAUUUUCCAUCUCUUGGUCCAGACUGAUCCCAAGAAAGACUACAUUGCAUAUGCUGAUGUUUGCUUCAGAGAAUUUGGUGAUUGGGUCUUGCACUGGACUACUUUUAAUGAAGCUGUUGAGAGGAUCAAAUGCGACCAAAACUUUUUACUACAAGGCUGGGUUUGACCCACAAUUUUUGUCAAAACCAAGCGUGGAAGGGAAGGAGGCUGGGUUGUGGAACGGCUUUUGAAUCAGUUAUUGAUAGAGCUAGACCGGAGCUGAUCAACGCAAGGGCGUUUACAUAAUCGGUUCUACCAACAGGCCAGAGGUGAUGGAUCAAGCAGUGUUACGACCCGGAAGGUUUGGGAACAAUUUAAACCACUUAGAUUCUUAAUUUUUCCGUAAUAAUUACUAAUGUACGUUUAGUCUUUUUUUUAAUGCCUACUUAUGCAUAUGAACUAUUGAUGCGUGUUAGUGUGUAUAUUUUUAGGUAUAUAUUUUAAACCCUUUUUAAACUUU